UGUGGGCGUCGUCCAGGGAGCUUCAAGGGAAUUGGGGACAGCUUUGCAGGCACAGAAAGGAGAAGGCUGGGAUUCACUCAGACCACACGCUGCGACGUCUGCCUAGUGGAUGGCCAGCCAGAUGCACAUGGUGUGUGAGGCACUUUGUGGCAGAGGCGGGCAGGGAGGUGGAAGCCUUCCAGUUCUUUCUGAGUUGACUGAUGUGAGGUUGUCAGUCACACUGCCAGGCGCUGUUUUGACUCCACUCAUCAAGAUUUGCACUGUGCAGCUCCAAAAAAGGUAUCUGCUUUGAAAGUAGUGUUCUGCAUUCUUGGAGCAGAUGACUGGUGACAACAUCCAAUUAAAUAUAAACGCUUGGCCGGGGGACUUGACUUGGAGGGUUGGUGAAGUUUCAGGUCUAACUUGUUAAACUUGGCCUUCCUCAAAUACUGGACAACUUUCUCCAAAAACAGCACGUCAGGGAAUGAAACCUAAUUAUAAGUGGCAUCUUCAAUUGGACACAGGUCUCCAUCAGCCACCUUCCUGCCUCGGGAAAGGCAUACAUCAACCCCAGGCUAGAGAAAGGAUCUGUGAUACCUGAUGACUUCUUUGUCUUUCCCACUGGUUCAAUCCUAUUUCAGCCAUUCAUGAGAUGAAUAUCUACGAGGCAUUUACAGGGAGGAAGGCACAUAUCUGCGGAGGUGACGACUGGGCUGAUGUGAUUCUGUGAACCACUUGAGGGCAGAGGCUUUGGCUUUAUCUUCAUACUUCCGACACCUAGCAGAGUGCCUGCUGUCCGGCAUGGGAGAGCCUUGGUUUGGCAACUGACUUCCAGGGGACGUUGUGAAAGCUGGUUGACUCUUGGUCACGUGUUGCAGUGAUGAGCCGGUAGCAUCCUUGACUCUGAGCACCUCCCUCCCCCUACUGGGAGGUUACCCCACUUGUUCUUCACCAUCAUGGCCACCACUGGACCCUAGUGUCUCAUUUCACACUACAGGCUCCCCCUGUAAAAUAAAAUUGAUAAGAGGCUUUCUCACUGGUCAGAUGCUCCUGCCUCCCAUCCAUUACUCAGUCUACUCGCCUGGCUUCUGAUCUCCUACCUUCUGAAUUUUGUGUACUUCUUGCCUCCUUGCCUGUGGUCUGUUGGCAUCUCUCCAGGUGCUUCUGUGGUACAUGCUGCCCUUUUGCCCGAUUACCCCUUGCUUCCUUCCUGGUCUCCACAAGCCAUGAUGAUCAUGGCCCCCACAGAACAAAUAGCAAAAAUACAAAGCCAUCACUUCCCUGACAUCCCUUGAGAAGACAGAGUGGAGAAGUCUGGCUGUAGAUUGCUGGAUAAGAAAUGGGUCACAACCUGCCCCCUAAUAGGGCCUUGCUCAUCCUAGUUAUUCCAGUUCAUGCCUAAGCACUUCCUACUCUCUGACACUUGUUUUUGUUCUGACUGGCCUUGCUGGUAAGAUGGAAGACAUUGAAUGGCAAAUAGCAAACCCGUAAGAGAACUGGAGUGCUCAGCUUCACCCCUCAGACUCGCUCCCAAGAAGGUAUCAUCUCCUCCAGAAGCAUGAAAGAGAAGGUUACUGUUGUUAUUUCAGUAGACUUGGCUUUUUAGAGCAGUUUUAAGUUCACAGCAAAAUUGAGUAAGGUGCAAAAAGUUCCCAUAGACCCCACACAUGCACAAUCAUCCUUACCAUCAACAUCUCCCACCAGAGCAGUACGUUUGUUAUCACCCAUGAACCUACAUGGACACAUCAUUAUCACCAAAGUCUAUAGUUUACCUUCUUGGUACUGUACAUUCUAUGGGGUUUGACACAUACACUGAUAUGCCUCCACCAUUGCACUACUGUGCAGAAUAGUUUCAGUGCCCAAAAAUUUCUUUGUGUUCUGCCUGUUUAUCCCUCCCGCCCCCCAACCCCUAGAACACACCGACCUUUUCAUGGUCUCCAUAGUUUUGCCUUUUUCAAAAUCUCGUAUAACUGGAAUCAUACAGUAUGUAGCAUUUUCAGAUUGGCUUCUCUCACUUAGUAAUAUGCGUUUAAGGCUCUCUGUGUCUUUCCAUGAUGGGUAGCUCACUUCUUUCUAGCACUGAAUAUUGUUCCGUCAUCUGGCUAUAACACAGUUUAUAGAUUCAUUCACCUACUGAAAGACAUCUCGGUUGUUGCCAAGUUUGGCAGUUAUAAAUAAAGUUGCUAUAAAUAUC